AUAAACGUUCGGAGCAAAUAAUUUAAGAAAUAACACACGUUUUUAUUACUGCAAGUCCGCGCCAUCUCAGACAAUCCAUUUAAGAUAUUUGUAACCUCUAUAAGCCUACCUAAGUUAAACUUUUCACCGUAUGACACAGCAACCAUACAGUGGAGAGGAUGAACGUGCAAGUGUUUCGUAAUAACAAGUUAAUAAGCAGUUUACACAGCUAAUCAUGACUGACAGUUUUCCAUAUUUAAUUUAUGACAUCAUUAUGCAGGCCUCUAUGCCUGCGGGUACAAGCAGUAGCCAACUCCUGAAAAGUGCAGUGCACUUCAGAUAGGCUAAGUGCAUUACCGUUUUUCUCAGGGAUGUAGGCCUAACGAUUCACCGCAUCAGUCCCAGAUUCAAAUGUUUAAGAUAGAUAGAAGAGCAUCGGUCGUCGGACCUCAAAUCGAUCCAAAUGUAGCAUGCAUCGGUCCAAAAAUAUAUUCUAAAAAGUUACGAAUCACCGGUUCACAUUAUUUUUUUUUUGCUCAUAUAAUUUUGUGACAACUGAUACGUCCUCUCCUUCAGUGUCGAACUGUAUGUAAUUGUAUUGACACGUCUCUGAUCUACAACUCAUUUUGCUUGCCGAACAACCCAGUGCAAUAUCAGUAGCGUCGUCAAACUAUGCACUGUGCCCAGUUUCCUGGACCGUUCAGCAUUCAAACGCUAAAAUGGCUUCCAUGAUAUUAAGCUUUAUUAGGCGAUUGACAACCUAUGCAAAUUGCUAGGUUAUUGUUAUCUAAGCCCUGUUAAAAAUGUAUUUUACCGGAAUAAAAGUAAGCUACAGGAGAACUCAUCUGACUAUACCUGCUGAAUGGGGCUUACAAUAUAAUUUAUUUGGAGUGUUCAAGUUCACCAUCAGCAAUACAUUUCGUAGUGUGCCCUUUAAACAAUCAGUGUAUAUGGUACUUUUUUUUUUAGAUAUAUAUGGUAACGUUGAUAAUUUCACAAAGAGGACAGCAAUCACUUUUGCGAGGCACACUGCGUGGCAGAAGCCAGAGAAGAAAAAGUGGGUGAGAGUCUGAGGGACUGACAAGAGAAACUAGGAUGAGUGAAUGUUCAGUGAUGUUGAGCUAGGUGUAUUUUAGGUGCACUAAGUGCAAAUACCUGCAUGCUAUACUGAUGAUAAUGUUGCCUACAUUAUCUGCUCUCGUUCCUUUCCCCCUGGCUAAGUCUCUCUAUUAAUAAACGCUUCUAACCGAUAAACAGAAUUUAUUUUCUACGUGUUGUCUUCACAAGAAGGGCCUCACAGGGAACUUGUCUGACUCCAUUCUAAAUAGAUGGAGAGAUUUUAUUCAUGCUUUGACCUCCUAGGUCUGAAUUCAACCCAUAUAAUGAUCAUCAGACUUGAAUAAAGGGUUAAAUAGAACUUAAGUACGAGGUCCAUUCAUGGUUGUACUGGUUUUUGCUUCCAUAAGCUUUAAGGUGACACGUUUUUGCCAUGGAAGUAAUAACACACAGGCAGAUUGUGUGUGUUGAAUGGGUGGAAAUCAACCUCUACCUUGUUACGCCCCAAACCAGGCCCUUCUCAACUCAGAGAACUCUAGUGGCUAACGGUUGAUAAAAGGGUUGUUCAAUUGAAGUUGGGAUUGACCCACAAAAUCUUAUAUGGCACAGUCCCCAAGUAUCCAAUUUUUUUUUUCUCAGUUAGGGACUCUUCGGACGCCAGGAGAGGCAGAGCCAUAGACUUUGUGCAUUGUCGAUUUAAGAGUUGUACUGGUCAGAACAUGUUUUAUAUAUGGCAGUGGUAGAGUGGAUAAAACUACUGGCUGCGAUUAAAACUGUUUCUGCCAGUCAUAGGUUCAAACACUCCUGCAAGGCUUGGUUAAUGAUGAGAUAACCUUCUAGUGUUAACAACCCCGUAAAUGUUUUUUUAAUUUUUUAUUAACAACUCGGUGCGUAUAUUUGCUUUUUUUUUAUACUGUGUAUGUAAAUACUUUAUCUAUGGUUGA
rnacentral:lncRNA from 1 species